CCGCCGUGGGGGUAACGCUCGAGUGUGUGCGAGUGUGUCUGUGCCCUCGGUUCGCUUGCUCGCUCCGGGCCGUAUUAUGCAGGGACUUGGGAAGACGGAGAGGGGGGACCCGGGCCGAGACCUCGACCGGACGUCGCUGAGAUCCACCAUGCCAGCCGGCGGCCCUCUGCAGGGAGGUCCCCCCUCUAAUCUGAACAUGAACCUGUACGCCACCAAGAAGUCGGCCGCCGAGGGCAUGUUGGACAUCGCCCUGUUCCUGGCUAACAUCACGCACAUGAAGACCGUCAUCGAACAGGGAGCUGGAUACAGGUACUAUGCUGCCGUCCUGACGCUCAUCUCCUUCUCCCUUGUUCUCCAGAUAGUGGCUGGAGUCCUGAUCAUCAUCAUUGCUCGGGGAGACAUAAGCGAAGAGGCCAAUCAGAAGCGCCUGGACGGCCUGAACAACAUCACAACCAUCCUCAUCUUCCUCAUCUUCGUCAGCAAUAUCUUCAUCUCUGUCUUUGGGAUGGAGCGCACCGGCCUCUUUGCCAGGAUGCAUUUCUGACCCUCUGAUCUCGUUGUGAGCUGACCAGCCUCCCCUCGUGUCAGCGGUUGUUAAACUUCCUGAACAAUCUGACCACCGGCAUCAUCUUCCUCACCCUCAUCGUCAACAUCAUCAAAGCCGCGUUCGGCACACAGCGCAGCUGCUUCCUGCGAUGGCUGCUCCAGCGGUUCAUCCUAUAGGCCGAUGACAGAUAACGCAAUCGAGCACACACCCCCGCAGGGACCUGAACGUGGUGUCCAAUCAGAAACGACUCGACUACCUGAACAACCUUGCCACAGGUGUCAUCUUCCUCACCGCGGUGAUUAACUUCUUCGCCAGCUUCUUCGGAUCCAAGAGGACCGGCUUCUUCCGCUGGCUGCUGGCUCGACUCCACUUCUGACACGAGCACACACCCAACCACACACACACACACACACACACACACACACACACAUUCAGUGUAUUUCAUCUGGGCACACGCUGAUUCACAGUUGAAAAUUCACAUUCAAUUCGCCUACGUUCAAACAUCACAUCUUAUUUAUCAUUCAGGCUCUUGAGAUGUGCGUCACGCUGUAAUCCAACUAAAAUAAUGUCACUUUAACCAACUGUACAUCUAUGUAAAUAAGAUCGUAUGUGCUGCAAUAACGUGCUUGUGCAUAACUUUUGUUAAAUUGUGUGUAUUUCAAACGGUUUUACACUUGUUUUAUAAAUAUUUUGUAUGAUUUUUUUAAACUUGUUUGACGUAGAAAAUCAUUUUCAGGCUCAAUACGACAAAGAAACAGGGUAAUAUACAUAAAACAUACCCCUCUAAUAUGUACCGACACAUUCUCCUCCAGAAAGCUGAAUAAAUGUAGUGAUUUAACAGAA